GCCAGUCUGUGAUUCCAAUGAUCUGAAGCUGGCUUAAUUGUUAUCUAACUGAGACUCAUAGGCUUUAAAAAAAUUAUCAAAUCGAUCAUUGAGGGUUCUGACCGUCUCUGUCAAGCUGCUUACUUGCUGCCGUAAAGGAGAGGGUUGUUGUUGCCGGAAGCCUCCUACUUGCCCAGAAGAAGCAUUCUGGUUUUGUCCAAUGCUGGGGUGGUUCUUCCAACUUUGGCUAGAGUUGCCUUGGUUAAAGUUACCCUGCUUGAACGGGAAUUGAUUCCCCAUGUAGUUGACAUCCUGUUGCAUUUGUUCAGGAAAAGCGAAUUGACCAUUAAUGUGGUCACCACCGCAUAAAUCGCAAAGUUGUUGAGUCUGAGAAAUAUCCCUUAACCCCG
rnacentral:lncRNA from 1 species